rnacentral:rRNA from 1 species
AGAGUUUGAUCCUGGCUCAGAACGAACGCUGGCGGCGUGCCUAACACAUGCAAGUCGAACGGAGAUAAGGGGCUUGCUCCUUAUUUUAGUGGCGCACGGGUGAGUAACGCGUGGAUAAUCUACCUUGGAAUCUGGGAUAACAUCUCGAAAGGGGUGCUAAUACCGGAUAAGACCUCGAGCUCUUCGGAGUUUGCGGUAAAAGGGGGCCUCUGUAUAUGCUUCUGUUUCAAGAUGAGUCCGCGUACCAUUAGCUAGUUGGCAGGGUAAUGGCCUACCAAGGCGACGAUGGUUAGCUGGUCUGAGAGGAUGAUCAGCCACACUGGAACUGAGACACGGUCCAGACUCCUACGGGAGGCAGCAGUGGGGAAUUUUGCGCAAUGGGGGAAACCCUGACGCAGCAACGCCGCGUGAGUGAUGAAGGCCUUCGGGUCGUAAAGCUCUGUCAGAGGGAAAGAAGUGUGGGAGGGUUAAUACCCCUUUCACUUGACGGUACCCUCAAAGGAAGCACCGGCUAACUCCGUGCCAGCAGCCGCGGUAAUA